rnacentral:rRNA from 1 species
AGGGAAUAUUGCGCAAUGGGGGAAACCCUGACGCAGCGACGCCGCGUGAGUGAUGAAGGCCUUCGGGUCGUAAAGCUCUGUUGUAUGGGAAGAAAAAAAUGACGGUACCAUAUAAGAAAGGAUCGGCUAACUUCGUGCCAGCAGCCGCGGUAAUACGAGGGAUCCUAGCGUUGUUCGGAAUCAUUGGGCGUAAAGGGUGUGUAGGCGGCCAAGUAAGUCAGUUGUGAAAGCCCCGGGCUCAACUCGGGAAGUGCUUCUGAUACUGCUUGGCUUGAGUAUUGGAGAGGUGAGUGGAAUUCCAGGUGUAGUGGUGAAAUACGUAGAUAUCUGGAGGAACACCGGCGGCGAAGGCGGCUCACUGGCCAUAUACUGACGCUGAAACACGAAAGCGUGCGGAUCAAAC